GACGAACGCUGGCGGCGUGCUUAACACAUGCAAGUCGAACGGAAAGGCCCUGCUUUUGUGGGGUGCUCGAGUGGCGAACGGGUGAGUAACACGUGAGUAACCUGCCCUUGACUUUGGGAUAACUUCAGGAAACUGGGGCUAAUACCGGAUAGGAGCUCCUGCUGCAUGGUGGGGGUUGGAAAGUUUCGGCGGUUGGGGAUGGACUCGCGGCUUAUCAGCUUGUUGGUGGGGUAGUGGCUUACCAAGGCUUUGACGGGUAGCCGGCCUGAGAGGGUGACCGGCCACAUUGGGACUGAGAUACGGCCCAGACUCCUACGGGAGGCAGCAGUGGGGAAUAUUGCACUAUGGGCGGAAGCCUGAUGCAGCAACGCCGCGUGCGGGAUGACGGCCUUCGGGUUGUAAACCGCUUUCGCCUGUGACGAAGCGUGAGUGACGGUAAUGGGUAAAGAAGCACCGGCUAACUACGUGCCAGCAGCCGCGGUGAUACGUAGGGUGCGAGCGUUGUCCGGAUUUAUUGGGCGUAAAGGGCUCGUAGGUGGUUGAUCGCGUCGGAAGUGUAAUCUUGGGGCUUAACCCUGAGCGUGCUUUCGAUACGGGUUGACUUGAGGAAGGUAGGGGAGAAUGGAAUUCCUGGUGGAGCGGUGGAAUGCGCAGAUAUCAGGAGGAACACCAGUGGCGAAGGCGGUUCUCUGGGCCUUUCCUGACGCUGAGGAGCGAAAGCGUGGGGAGCGAACAGGCUUAGAUACCCUGGUAGUCCACGCUGUAAACGGUGGGUACUAGGUGUGGGGUCCAUUCCACGGGUUCCGUGCCGUAGCUAACGCUUUAAGUACCCCGCCUGGGGAGUACGGCCGCAAGGCUAAAACUCAAAGGAAUUGACGGGGCCCCGCACAAGCGGCGGAGCAUGCGGAUUAAUUCGAUGCAACGCGUAGAACCUUACCUGGGUUUGACAUGGAUCGGGAGUGCUCAGAGAUGGGUGUGCCUCUUUUGGGGUCGGUUCACAGGUGGUGCAUGGCUGUCGUCAGCUCGUGUCGUGAGAUGUUGGGUUAAGUCCCGCAACGAGCGCAACCCUUGUUCACUGUUGCCAGCACGUUAUGGUGGGGACUCAGUGGAGACCGCCGGGGUCAACUCGGAGGAAGGUGGGGAUGACGUCAAGUCAUCAUGCCCCUUAUGUCCAGGGCUUCACGCAUGCUACAAUGGCUGGUACAGAGAGUGGCGAGCCUGUGAGGGUGAGCGAAUCUCGGAAAGCCGGUCUCAGUUCGGAUUGGGGUCUGCAACUCGACCUCAUGAAGUCGGAGUCGCUAGUAAUCGCAGAUCAGCAACGCUGCGGUGAAUACGUUCCCGGG
rnacentral:rRNA from 1 species